AAGCAUCUAAGCGGGAAACUGACUUCAAGAUAAGUAUUCUUUUAGACAUCUUCGAGACUAGGAGAUUGAUAGGUUGGGGGUGUAAGAGUAGCAAUGCUUUUAGCUGACCAAUACUAAUAUGUCGAAGUCUUAACCUU
rnacentral:ncRNA from 1 species